GAUGAACGCUGGCGGCGUGCCUAAUACAUGCAAGUCGAGCGAACAGACGAGGAGCUUGCUCCUCUGACGUUAGCGGCGGACGGGUGAGUAACACGUGGAUAACCUACCUAUAAGACUGGGAUAACUUCGGGAAACCGGAACUAAUACCGGAUAAUAUAUUGAACCGCAUGGUUCAAUAGUGAAAGACGGUUUUGCUGUCACUUAUAGAUGGAUCCGCGCCGCAUUAGCUAGUUGGUAAGGUAACGGCUUACCGAGGCGACGAUGCGUAGCCGACCUGAGAGGGUGAUCGGCCACACUGGAACUGAGACACGGUCCAGACUCCUACGGGAGGCAGCAGUAGGGAAUCUUCCGCAAUGGGCGAAAGCCUGACGGAGCAACGCCGCGUGAGUGAUGAAGGUCUUCGGAUCGUAAAACUCUGUUAUUAGGGAAGAACAAAUGUGUAAGUAACUAUGCACGUCUUGACGGUACCUAAUCAGAAAGCCACGGCUAACUACGUG
rnacentral:rRNA from 1 species